CCACCUUUCUGACCAGUUUCUGAUCGCCGCGCCGGCUCCUAGAGGAAAUGUGGCGACUGUUCACCGACAGCAGUGUCACGCAGAGAAAGGACGUUACAGUCGAUGUGAUGAGUUCCUGGAGUUCAGCCGGGCGGAGCUACGUGGAUGUGACCGCCUGUAAGAGUCGUGCUCGGAUAAAAAAACGAGCGCCCGUCCGCCGCUCCCCUCGGGAGUCUGUGUGCAGUGCGGAAGUCUCUCCACCAAUCAGCGUCCAGAGCUGAGGAGCGGCCUCCUGCUGUCUGUCGCACUGUGAUGACCAGCUGCUGUAAACUAACGGGGAACACUGGACAAACUGUUAGAAUGAAUUUACGAAGUAUUCUGAGUCUAUCCAACUUAUAAACAAGAAGAAUUGUUCACUUGCAGUUGAGAAUUGUUUACAGAAAUCUAAUUUUUAAUUGUCCACCUUUUGUGUUAAGUGAUUUUUUUCUCUUUAUUUAUGUAUUAUUAUAACUUUUACCCUUUGUCCUGUUAUCAUGUCAACUGUAUCAACAAACUGAAAGUGAGUCUGGCUGUACGUCUCUUCACCAGUCUCACCAGAUGCCCUCAGACUUUUCUCCCUGUUUGUUGAGACUGGAGUGAGUGGGAAGAAGCCCAGAUAAGAGAGGUUGCAGAUUAUAUGUAAGGACGACUUGAGAUACUGUUGCUUUCUACAUUGAUUCUCAUAGGAACUAAGUGCUAAAUUGAACUGAAACACUAGUUUUUGUUUGAUUUAUGUUGCCUUAAUAUGCAGCCACUCUGCUUUACAGACUUAAUUCAUGUUUUUGUUAACAGCAAUGAAUGCUCAAGGUUAUUUUGCUGUGUGUGCUCGUUGUGACUUGUGCACUUAUACUCACUGGCCACUUUAAUAGGAACACCUGUGUAAUCUAAUGCAACAGCUCUGCCAUAAACUCUACU